AACGAACGCUGGCGGCAGGCCUAACACACGCAAGUCGAACGCCCCGCAAGGGGAGUGGCAGACGGGUGAGUAACACGUGGGAACCUUCCCUAUAGUACGGAAUAGCCCAGGGAAACUUGGAGUAAUACCGUAUACGCCCGAAAGGGGAAAGAAUUUCGCUAUAGGAUGGGCCCGCGUAGGAUUAGCUAGUUGGUGAGGUAAUGGCUCACCAAGGCGACGAUCCUUAGCUGGUUUGAGAGAACGACCAGCCACACUGGGACUGAGACACGGCCCAGACUCCUACGGGAGGCAGCAGUGGGGAAUAUUGGACAAUGGGCGCAAGCCUGAUCCAGCCAUGCCGCGUGAGUGAUGAAGGCCUUAGGGUUGUAAAGCUCUUUUGGCGGGGACGAUAAUGACGGUACCCGCAGAAUAAGUCCCGGCUAACUUCGUG
rnacentral:rRNA from 1 species